UACGUAGGGGGCGAGCGUUGUUCGGAGUGACUGGGCGUAAAGAGCACGUAGGCGGUGUUGUAAGUCAUUAGUCAAAGACUAGAGCUCAACUUUAGUAAGGCUAGUGAUACUAUAAUACUAGAGUAUCAGAGAGGAUUGCAGAAUUCCUGGUGUAGCGGUGAAAUGCGUAGAGAUUAGGAAGAACACCAGUGGCGAAGGCGACUUACUGGACUGUAACUGACGCUGAGGCAUGAGAGCAUGGGGAGCAAACAGG
rnacentral:rRNA from 1 species